UACCCUUAUCGAUUGCUUUUCUUUUUCUCAGAGAACAUAUAUCCAUCCACAAAUCCAUAAGAAUGAUUGAGAGAGAGAGAGAGUACAAGCCCAACAAAAGCCUUGAAACAAAUGAAAGAAAUCUACAGGGAGCUUGUGGUGGAGAUCCAGCCUCUCUCUCUCUCUCUAAAACUCCAGUGCUCCAAUGACUCCAUAUAGCUAUUGAUGCUUCAUUACUCCACACGCUCCUUCAGAUCCGUCGCCUACGCUCUCGUUGGAGAAGUCCUCCUUACCAUUUCCAUGCAGCCUCACGUCCAUAAAUUCUUGUAGCUGUACCUUGCUCAUUUUACUUCGCGUCUAUUGGGAUGCUUGCAAUAUCGCCACAAAGAGACUCCAAUGGUAAUGAGAGAGAGGCGGAGGUGGGAAGAUGCUUGGCAUCCCCAGAAGAAUUCUGCAACAAAUUCAUGGGAGGGGAGUUCCUCGAGGACAUCAACUUUGAUGACCUCUUCGCCGGGUUGGAUGACGGGGACAUGCUGCCCGACCUGGAGGUGGACCCUGUGGAGAUCCUCGCGGCGUUCUCAGUCCCUUACGAGGAGGACUCGGGGACUGCAGCAGCGGCGGUGGAAGCAAGUGGUGGGGAUGGCCGAGAGAACCCAUUAUUGGUGGAUGAGAAAGGUCUGAGUCAGGCCGAGGAGGUCUUGAGUGCAAGGGAGAAGGCAGAUGACUUGGUUGCUACUGCAUCGGCAAAUUUAUCGUUUUCGGAGGCCGAUAGAGGCCCGAAGACAUCGGCAAAGGGCUCUAAAGGAAAGCGGAAAGUGAAGGUGGAUUGGACUCCUGAGUUGCACCGGAGAUUUGUUCAGGUGGUCGAGCAGCUUGGGAGCGAUAAGGCCGUGCCCUCGAGGAUAUUAGAACUAAUGGGGAUUGAUGGCCUCACCCGACAUAAUGUUGCUAGCCAUCUUCAAAAAUAUCGGGCCCACAGGAAGCAUUUGCUCGCAAGAGAGGUGGAGACUGCGAGGUGGAGCCAGAGAUGGCACAUGAAUACCGGUGGUGGUGGUGAUGAUGGUGAUGGGACGAAGAGGAACAUAAACCCUUGGCUUCUUCCCAUCAUGGGCUUCUCCCCUCCUCCAGUUCAACCCUUAAAGCCACUGCAUGUGUGGGGGCACCCCACUGUAGACCAGUCACGAGUACUUCAUUUGUGGCCGAAACAUCUGGCCCCGGCUCCCUCACUGCCUUCCCGUCCGUGGAGUCCACAGCCAUCUCUACCACCUCCUUCCUUCUGUCACACUCAUUACUCAAGGGGACCUGGAGAUGGGUGGGUACCAAGUGCUCUAACCCAGGGAACACCAUGCUUCCCUCAGCCACUGCUCACAGCAAGGUUUCCAGCUCCACUAGUUCUAGGAAUUCCACCACGACCCUUGUAUAGAUCAGAAAAUGUAGUUCCUCCGACUACCAAGCUCUCAAGCUCACUGCUUUCGCUUGAUGCUCAUCCAAAGCUAGGGAGGAAAAGGAAUGGGUCCAAGCUAUGAAUAAAGAGAUACAAACUAUAGAGAAGAAUGAGAUAUGGGAGUUGGCUAGUCUACCAAAAGGGAAGAAGGCAAUUGGAGUCAAAUGGAUAUUCAAAGCCAAGAAAAAUACAAAGGGCGAAGUAGCGAGAUACAAUACAAGGCUUGUAGCUAAAGGAUACAGCAAAAAAAAGGCAUUGACUACAAAGAGUCGAUGGAGAGUAUAGAUGCAGCUAUUGGAGAUGUUUUAGCAAAGCCAUGGCUACCACUACGCCUUGGUCUCAAGCCUCCAUCUUUGGAGGGUGUCCAGCUGGUUGAAUCACAACGGCGAGGGUUAGCAAAGAUACCAUCAGCUUGUGGUUGAUUUGUGAUUACAAAAUGUUUGUCCUGGGACCAGCACAUUUGAAUUCGCCGACAUGUCCAACUUAUUGCUUGCAUUUACUAAAGCUUAUCUCUUUGUUCUUUGUUGCAAUUAUAUAUAUUUUAAUUCUACAUAUUUGCUGAUCGUGAAACAUCUUUGGUGGAACCAAUCAUCGAUGACC